UACGUAGGGGCCAAGCGUUGUCCGGAUUCAUUGGGCGUAAAGAGCUCGUAGGCGGUUCGUCGCGUCGGCUGUGAAAUCCCGAGGCUCAACCUCGGGUCUGCAGUCGAUACGGGCGGACUGGAGUACUGCAGGGGAGACUGGAAUUCCUGGUGUAGCGGUGAAAUGCGCAGAUAUCAGGAGGAACACCGGUGGCGAAGGCGGGUCUCUGGGCAGUUACUGACGCUGAGGAGCGAAAGCGUGGGGAGCGAACAGG
rnacentral:rRNA from 1 species